UUUCACUGUAUCACCAGAGCACUGAUUGACCAAGAUGGACAGACAGACGCACUACACUUGCAAACUAACAAAGCGGAGGAGGGUGAUUGAUCAGCUUCAGCACCUGAAAAGAAACACAACAAACAUAAAGCAGAUCUCUGUUGGCAGCAGGAGUUAAUGGAAAAGAAGAACCAACCACAGCUCUGCAACACAAUCCAGUCCCCAACCCCACCUACAUAUCCUUCUCCAUAUACAGCCAUCCACCCCUCCCCAAAAAAACACUGUCCAUAUCCAGCUUGCCCUCCUAACUCCAACCUGAUAGGACAUAGAGGCAGUGUUAUUCUUACAGCCAUGACUAGAUCAGGGCCAUAACCGACAUAGACAUUGCUUCACCCAAUGUUUAGGUCAGAAUGGGGUUUUCAAUGGCAGAUUCUUAUGCUUUUAUGUUUGGUCCGACUCCAUAAUAAUAAUAAUAAUAUUCUAAUAACCAUCCAGUACUGUGGUAUUGUAUUUCUGUAAGGCUAAUGUAUGAUGUAUGUAUAUUUUGUGUAUUUUGCUUAUUCAUAGUAGGCCUGUUCAUUUCAGUUUCUAUUCUGUUAUGAUGCUUUAACUUACAUCCUUACUCAAGGAGAUGCUUUACUGUUGUGGUGAGUUAUUGUUUUUUAAUAAUUUAAGUAUUUAAAUAAUUCAAUACAUAGGCAAAUUAUUAGCAAAUUGAAGUUUACAUGUAAAAACAGACCGCUUUAUUUGGCCUUUCUUAGUAGGAUGUAUCUGAAAUACCCACAAUGUUGAAUUAUAAAAGCUUUGCAAUAAAUA